rnacentral:pre_miRNA from 1 species
UUUAAGUAUAGUUGUGCGUUUCUCCGUUUCUGUGAUUGAUUCGUCUUAUUUAAUUUUUUUUAUGAUUAAUACUUUUAUUGUUAUUAUAAGAUAAAAUAUGAAUAGUACUUUGCGUGUGACUUAUUUUUUUUUAAUUUUUCACAUAUUUUUCAAACAAUACGGACGGUCAAACGUUGGACACGAAACCCACAACCACACUUAAA